CAUCUCAUGCACCACUUUUUUUUUAAAUUUAUUGGCAAUUAGAGUCUAUACCUCCAAAAAUUCUAUCUCAAAAUCACAUGCCCCAUCUACCAUAUUCUUUUUUUUUAUACAAAUAGAGUCCAAAUUUCUAAAAACUCUUUCUUAUGAUGGUUUCUCCCAUCCAUCUCAAAGGCAUGCCCUCUAGGAUGGUGAAAAUUUUCCACCAUAUUUUAAUUUUUUUCAAAAAAUUUAUGCUCUUAAUUUUUCUUCCU
rnacentral:lncRNA from 1 species